GUAGGUGGCAAGCGUUGUCCGGAAUUAUUGGGCGUAAAGCGCGCGCAGGCGGUUCUUUAAGUCUGAUGUGAAAGUCCACGGCUCAACCGUGGAGGGUCAUUGGAAACUGGAGAACUUGAGUACAGAAGAGGAAAGCGGAAUUCCACGUGUAGCGGUGAAAUGCGUAGAGAUGUGGAGGAACACCAGUGGCGAAGGCGGCUUUCUGGUCUGUAACUGACGCUGAGGCGCGAAAGCGUGGGGAGCAAACAGGAUUAGAUACCCUGGUAGUCCACGCCGUAAACGAUGAGUGCUGAGUGUUAGGGGGUUUCCGCCCCUUAGUGCUGCAGCUAACGCAUUAAGCACUCCGCCUGGGAGUACGGCGCAAGGCUG
rnacentral:rRNA from 1 species